CUGUAUUUUGGGUCUAAGUACAUGAGACACAAUGGUGGACAAUCUAUACUGAGAGCCUCAAUUCUUCCUGUAGACAGUGUCUCCUCAGUGGAGUAAAAGCCUCACGGUGUGUUGAAUCUUGGUCUGAGAGUCGCCAACCCACUGGUGGACCGGAUCCACUUACAAGAGUCAAUGUUCAAACUUUCAACUGUCUCCAGCUGUGAGAUUCAGAACCUCAACAGGGAUGCAGGUUAUGAAGAUGAGAGCGUGAGACAGCGAGCUGUAAGGGAAGCAGGUUACCCAGGGAUGGACAGAGGAUGGGCCCUGGCCCUCAUGUUAUG
rnacentral:lncRNA from 10 species